rnacentral:rRNA from 1 species
ACUGGAUAACUUCGGGAAACCGGAGCUAAUACCGGAUAAUAUUUUGAACCGCAUGGUUCAAAAGUGAAAGACGGUCUUGCUGUCACUUAUAGAUGGAUCCGCGCUGCAUUAGCUAGUUGGUAAGGUAACGGCUUACCAAGGCAACGAUGCAUAGCCGACCUGAGAGGGUGAUCGGCCACACUGGAACUGAGACACGGUCCAG